CACAGACACAAUCUCUUAUCUCACUUUCUCUCUCACCCACACGCAUGCAGCCAUACACCCGCGCACAUCAUAUCUCUUUGGAUAUUAAACCAUAAUAAACUCUACCACAUGUAUGGGUAGCCCGAACCAUCUCAAACCCUUUUCUGUCACGCUAUUCUGAUGAAACACUCAUCAAAAUAGUGCGGCAGAAGUGAGUAUGCUCACAGAAUGUAGUGGGCUUCAGGAGAGAGUGUAUAGGAUUGUGGGUACGUCACUACCUGGACAGGCCUUCAGGUGUACAGGAUUGUGGGUACGUCACUACCUGGACAGGCCUUCAGGUGUACAGGAUUGUGGGUACGUCACUACCUGCACAGGCCUUCAGGCGUACAGGAUUGUGGGUACGUCACUACUUGGACAGGCCUUCAGGCGUACAGGAUUGUGGGUACGUCACUACUUGGACAGGCCUUCAGGCGUACAGGAUUGUGGGUACGUCACUACUUGGACAGGCCUUCAGGCGUACAGGAUUGUGGGUACGUCACUACCUGGACAGGCCUUCAGGCGUACAGGAUUGUGGGUACGUCACUACUUGGACAGGCCUUCAGGCGUACAGGAUUGUGGGUACGUCACUACUUGGACAGGCCUUCAGGCGUACAGGAUUGUGGGUACGUCACUACUUGGACAGGCCUUCAGGUGUACAGGAUUGUGGGUACGUCACUACCUGGACAGGCCUUCAGGUGUACAGGAUUGUGGGUACGUCACUACCUGGACAGGCCUUCAGGUGUACAGGAUUGUUGGUACAUCGCUAGCUGGGCUGUCAGGUGUGUCAGACAGGCAGGGUUCUGUAUGACUUCCUGUCCAUUGGCCACAUCGAUGACUGAAAGCAGCAUGAAGUUCUCUCACACCUGCUUCAGACAAGGCCAAUCAGCUCCUAUUCAAACCGACCUGUUUAAACUGUUCAGUUAACCGUUCUGUUUCAUUUUGGGCCUCUGUAAAAUACAAACAUUUUGUCAUGCGCAUGUACAAAUUGUUCAAAAAUCAGUAUGCAAAUAUUUCAAAUUUGCCUGGCAACUCUGUGGGGAAAUACUGUGGAAAAUACUGUGGUAACACAGUGGUUAUGGUACUCGACUGGUAAACAAAAUUGCCACUGUUGGACCUCUGAGCAAGGCCGUUAACCCUCAGUUGCAUUCAGACAUUAUUGUAAGUUGCUUUGCAUAACAGUGUCAGCUAAAUACUGACUUCCUUGCAGAACAACAAACAAUAUAAACAUUGUAUAUUUAAAUAAUAAUUUGCUGUUUUAUGCACUGUUAUGUAGCAUAAAAGACCCAACGGGGUGCAUGUGUUACCUCAUUGCAAGUGUUUCAGGUAGCCUGCUGUAAUGGCCAGUGGGAGGCUUGCCCUUUGUUUGAGUUGCCAUGGCAAACCACACUCCUUAAUGGUAUCACUAAUCUGCCCUUUUGUCUGUCUCUCCACUUCUCUUUCUGACGUGGGAGCCUUUGCUUAAAUGAGCAAGAUAAGAAGAUUACAGACCAGGCCUGGAGCGAGAUCGGGAGGGGACCCUGGCUGAACUCGUCUUGUACACAGAUGAAGAGCUGAUGGAGAGGCUAGUUGGGACGGCAAAUAAAAGUGAACAGCGUUUCCAAAGAGACCACGGAAUAGUAAAUGAAAGCAAGGGAGGAUGACGCACGAGCUCAGUCUGUGAGGACCCGCGUCUAACGAAGCCGCUUGGGGCCUUGGAAGGCCCCUUGCAUAAUGUGGCGUGGCCAAUCUGGCCCAGUACACGGGUCAGCACUAUUCUGAAGGCCGAGGCAGCCCCGGGGCCUGAAGACUCCAGGCAGCCGCCUGGGUCUCCCUCGAGACCGAGUUCAUCGACGCAUACCAGCGCUGCUUCGCCAGCCUGUGACCGCAUGGCGCGAUGCCUCUGCCCUCUCAGCGACACACAACAUGACGGGAUAGCACAGGACCCAGGGCUCGCUCCCUCACUCUAGCGGUUUUUCCCAAAGAUAUCUGGAUUCAAUUAAACACAGUACAUAAUUUAUAAUUCUUUAAAAAAAAUGCAACAGUGCUAUUUUGUGAAGAUUUUUUUCUUUUUUGUAUUUUAGAUCAGCAGAAUGGCAGAAAUUAGUUUUAAAUUCCUUUUGAAUCGACAGUAGGCUUGUGAUGUUAAUCUAAAACAAAUCACAUUUCACCCUCUUAUCACUGCAGCCAAAGCAAAUCUGAAAUCAUUUCUAAAUAUCACACUAAAGACCAAAAUUGUGUUUUUUUGUUAAAAUACAUUUUUAGAAUCAAGCAUUUUUUAAAAAAUUGCUUAAUUUAUACACAGGAAUUUCCAAGUAUGCAAUGUGAUUUUGUUUGUUUUCUUAAAAGGAAAAGACAGAGGGGACUAAACCAAGUAAGUAAAUAAAUUAAAUGCAAAAAGGGGGCGGUUACCUUUUGCAUCGCUUUUGUAUAUGUUAUUGCUUUACUAAAACUCAUCACCUCAAAAGUCUUCACAUCAUGGGGUUCCCUUUUCCAAUAUUACACAUCGUAUAAUAUUCGAAAGCUAUUCUGUUUUUAAUGAUGGUAGAAGAUCUAUAAUGGCCACCCAAAUUUUCUUUACUUCAGCCCUCCUCUUAAUGCUAUGUAGGAGUUUCUCAGGAGUGCUGUAGGAUACAAGCUCAUGUAGCCAGAGAAUAAUUGAAGGUGUGUAUUCAGCUUUCCAAUUCACUAAUAUACAUUUCUUGGCAGCUGUACCAGUUAGCAAUACAAAGUACAUCUUAAACUGGGAAACACUUAACAAGUUCAUGUCACCUAACAACCAAAUCCUAGGGUCAGGAUUCGUGUUUGUAUAAAUUACUCAGUAUGUUUGUAUUGAUCAAAUGAAAUUAUCGAUUGAGUGAUUUGUAGAAAUCAUUCUUUCCAGAACUUUCUCUCAGUCAGGAGGAUGAUAGGCACAAUCAAAAGAGGUAAAAUUGGGCAACGUUGUUUUUCAGGUUGGAGUGCAACAUUUCUGUACUAUAUCAGUAAUGUGUGGAAGUCUCCAGACAUCCUUGUUGGAUCUGCAUUAGGCAUCUUUUCUCAAGUUUAUUAAGAAUUUUAUAAUGUAGACAGUUCGGAAGAGUUCCAUUAGCCAGGGAUUCCUUAAUCAUGUUUGUGAGGGCGUUACCAAUACGUUUGAAAAGGCCUUAUGAAUAUCCACUGGGAAACCAUCAGGCCCUGAGGCCUGCUUUGUAGAGAAUUGGCAGAAAGUAGUACAUCUUCCUCAGUGACCUCAGCAUUCAACAUAUUAUCCUGUUGACACACUUUUGGGAGUUGAAAUCUCUAAAGAAAUGCUUUGGCAUUCCCUUUAUCCCAAGCACAUUCAGAUGGAUACAGGAGUUUGUAAAACCUUUGAAAUUCAUUAUUUAUUUCCUCUGCUGAGCUUGUCAGUAUCCCAUCUUGUUUUUGAACAGAAUGAAUAAACAUUCAGAUUCAUCUUUCUUUUUUUUUUUAUUUGCUGGGUAAGGAUGGUAUCUUGUCCUGGCCAUUCUACCUCCUGUCCUUUGAGUUCAUAAGUUAGAGUAAAUAAUAUGCAUUUGGAGUCGUUUGUAUAAGAGAUCUUGAUUUUUGCUGGAAAAGUGUCAUAUUUCAUACCACCUUAAAUCUUUUUCUUUAGAAGCACAGUAUGUAAGUAUGUAGCGUGUCAUGAACGCUUUGAGGGUCUGAGGUGAUGCAGUUUUUGUUGGUCUCCAGAGUUGUAUUUGAGCAGUCCUGAACUGGACAAAACCUAAAUCUCUGAGCAUAUGUGGUUUAAAUGGCCAGAUAAAUGUCUGAGGACUAACUGA